rnacentral:lncRNA from 1 species
ACAAUGCUUUCUCCCAAUAACAAUACUCCUUCAUCAACUGAUAACAACAGUGUGCAACCCUAUACUUUCAAAAGAUCACUCAAAACACAUAAUUUCCAUCCAACACCAGAAAUAAUAGACUUCACUCCAACCAAUCUCAAUUCACAGAAUUUCUGUAAUCACCAACUUCUUUUUUCCAAAAUACACACAGCUCUCAAUAAACAAAAAUCAUAAUCUUCCAAUAACUCCUCAUAUAAUUCAAUCACUCAGUAUUCCAAUUACAUAAUCAAUAACUCAUAAAUCAAUCUUUGAUUUAUUCCACAGACUUACUUCUCAAUAUUCAAAAACUAUCCAUUAUUCUU